CACCUUUAUAGUUCCUCCUGGUAUUUAUCUAUGUAUUUCCAAAAAAUAUUCUAAGCUGCUAUGUACUGAUUGAUCAAUUCAGAGCAUUAUCUAUUAACUUUCUGUUAUACAUAGUGAGAAUUUCUCUCUUUUAAACUACCACACCCCCUUUUCUCCCAAGAUACUUAUAACACAAUUGUGUUUAAAUCAUUAUCACACAGAACAAGGUAUUCUCAAAUGAGUCAAGUAUUGCACUGAGAUUAUAUUUACAUUCUUCAACCAUUUUAAUUUUGUUGGUCUUUUCCCCCUUAAUCAUAUCCUCAAUUUUUUUGUUUAAUUUUUCCAUUGUUUCUCUAUUCUUAAACAACAAUAAACUCUUACCCCAUAUAUUUUACACAUAAUCAAAUAUAUCAAGAAUCUAUUAGAUGAACUUAUGUUAUUUUGUUAGUUUGUUUGUUUAAUCAGGGACA